CUAUUCUUAUCAGUUUAAUAUCUGAUGUGUCCUCUAUUUGGGCAUAAUAUAUAAAAUAAAUUUUUGGAGAAGGGAGAUACAAUAGGAGCUUGUUUCAUCCACUCUAUGCAUUAACCUGGUAUUGCAGUACCUCCAGGAAUGGUGC
rnacentral:snRNA from 1 species